GGAUCCAGACUUUGAUUCUGGCUCAGGAUGAACGCUAGCUACAGGCUUAACACAUGCAAGUCGAGGGGAAACGACAUCGAAAGCUUGCUUUUGAUGGGCGUCGACCGGCGCACGGGUGAGUAACGCGUAUCCAACCUGCCCACCACUUGGGGAUAACCUUGCGAAAGUAAGACUAAUACCCAAUGAUAUCUCUAGAAGACAUCUGAAAGAGAUUAAAGAUUUAUCGGUGAUGGAUGGGGAUGCGUCUGAUUAGCUUGUUGGCGGGGUAACGGCCCACCAAGGCGACGAUCAGUAGGGGUUCUGAGAGGAAGGUCCCCCACAUUGGAACUGAGACACGGUCCAAACUCCUACGGGAGGCAGCAGUGAGGAAUAUUGGUCAAUGGGCGAGAGCCUGAACCAGCCAAGUAGCGUGCAGGAUGACGGCCCUAUGGGUUGUAAACUGCUUUUAUAAGGGAAUAAAGUGAGUCUCGUGAGACUUUUUGCAUGUACCUUAUGAAUAAGGACCGGCUAAUUCCGUGCCAGCAGCCGCGGUAAUACGGAAGGUCCGGGCGUUAUCCGGAUUUAUUGGGUUUAAAGGGAGCGUAGGCCGGAGAUUAAGCGUGUUGUGAAAUGUAGAUGCUCAACAUCUGAACUGCAGCGCGAACUGGUUUCCUUGAGUACGCACAAAGUGGGCGGAAUUCGUGGUGUAGCGGUGAAAUGCUUAGAUAUCACGAAGAACUCCGAUUGCGAAGGCAGCUCACUGGAGCGCAACUGACGCUGAAGCUCGAAAGUGCGGGUAUCGAACAGGAUUAGAUACCCUGGUAGUCCGCACGGUAAACGAUGGAUGCCCGCUGUUGGUCUGAACAGGUCAGCGGCCAAGCGAAAGCAUUAAGCAUCCCACCUGGGGAGUACGCCGGCAACGGUGCAACUCAAAGGAAUUGACG
rnacentral:rRNA from 1 species